AGGUUUAACAAGUUCAAAUCAACGAUCAGGCAGUGGAGCAGUUGGUACGAGUUCAGAUGUCCGCAGGGACGACGGUCACCACGAUAGAUGCUGCAACGGCCGAGAGGCUGGUGAAGUUGGGAGAAGACCUCAUCAAAUUCUCUGCUGAUCAGGGCAUGGCACAAGUUGAGAUGAUGGCCACCAAACCGUCAUUACCGCAUUGCAACCUCUUCAAUUGUAAGCAGUUUGAGACGAUAACUCACCAGGUGAUAUGAAGAGUCCACAGAGCACAUGGCAAGGUCUCUUUGAUCUAGGCAUCCUCUUGAAUGUUCAGACUACCCCUACAACGUCACUGUGGGCUUCAAACUUGGAUUCGACCAUGGAUCUCAGCACUUUGGCCAGUGUCGUCAGAUCCUUAGCCAAUUUGAGCAAGAAGACGGUAGAGGGCCCUAAUCAUUCACAACAGGGCCUACAUGUAUCAAUUCAGAUCUAAUCGGAUGUGUGGAGGUUUUUCAACUUACUCUACUGAAAUAUGGUCAUGAAAAUUCUGAAGAAGACAGAAGAGGGCGCUAGUCAUUCACAGCAGAUAAUAUAUUCUCCAUCUCAGACCCUACAAAUUGUAUAAAUUGGUGACCAGGAUGUUCAAGGAGGGGACAAUGUCUCAAAGGCUUUUGAUGCUCUUACCAAGGGACUCAAUACAUCAGGGGACUCGGAAGCAGGGGGUUUAAGUUUUGGCCCAGCAUGAACGAGACAUUGGUCGAUAUAAACAAGCCAUAAUGACAUGAUGCAACUUCUUUCAACCUGCAGUCUUGGCCCAGCUUGAAGGAGACAUUGGAGCAAGCCAGGAUGAUAUGAUCAGAGGUAUGCAACUUCUUUCAAACUGCAGUCUUUGCCCAGCUUGAAGGAGACAUUGGAACAAGCCAGAAUGACAUGAUCAGAGGUAUGCAACUUCUUUCAACCUGCAGUCUUGGCCCAGCUUGAAGGAGACAUUGGAGCAAGCCAGGAUGAUAUGAUCAGAGGUAUGCAACUUCUUUCAAACUGCAGUCUUUGCCCAGCUUGAAGGAGACAUUGGAGCAAGCCAGGAUGAUAUGAUCAGAGGUAUGCAACUUCUUUCAACCUGCAGUCUUGGUCCAGCUUGAAGGAGACAUUGGAGCAAGCCAGGAUGAUAUGAUCAGAGGUAUGCAACUUCUUUCAACCAGCAGUCUUGGCCCAGCGUGAAGGAGACGUAAACAAGCCAGGAUGAUGUGAUCAGACGGAUGCAACUUCUUUCAACCUGCAGUCUUGGUCGAGCUUGAAGGAGACAUUGGAAAAAGCCAGGAUGAUGUGAUCAGAGGGAUGCAUUUUCUUUUUACCUGCAGACUUGGCCCGGCUUGAAAGAGAGAUUGGUUUGUACAAACAAGCCAGGAUGACGUGAUCGGAGGGACGCAGCUUCUUUCAACCUGCAGACUUGGCCCGACAUGGAGAGAAAAACUUGAGGGGGUAUCUCACUGAGCGGCAAAUGCUUCUGAAUGUUGUGAAUUUGUGAUUCACCAGCUUUUCUGAUGAGUGAUGCAAACUCUUACAAAUGUCUGUUUGUGAUAUCAAUAUUUAUAUUUACAAACUGCUUCAAAACAAUGUGGUUGCUAGCAUAUGCGAAUCAAAAUUACAACUGUUUUGCAAAACAUCUUCAAAAUUUCUUUUUGACAAGAAAAACUGUUCGCAACAAUGAAAAAAUGUUUACAAACUUUCUUGCAAUCUUUUACAAGCCCUGGUAAAAUCUCAAUUUCGAUACGUUUGCAAGCAUUCGCUGCUCAGUGAGAUACGCCCUUUAUUGAGUGCAUUCAAGAUAAUAUGUGACCUGCCACCACAAAAACCCAAUAUGAAUUUUGAGAAUUUUCUCAAGCUCGGAAAAGCACAUUCAAAACUUUGAUAUGAUCUAUAACUUAUCAAAAUUGAUCAAGAAUAACCCUUACAAGUACUUUAGUAUAGGAGAAGUUCAUUGAGAGCUUCCAAAUAUAAGGGGAAAAAAGGGUUUGAAGUUCAGGAUUCACUCAAGCAAGCAUGUUACAAUCUUGGGUAAACUUCAUGGUAAAAACUUUACAAUUUCAAAAUUUGACAGGAUGAACAAGAAUUACUUUUCAGAUACGCCAAUUCUUCAGUAUUUACUUUUUUAAGACCAAAUUAUUAUUUUAGCUAUAUACAGAGAACUUUCCCUUGUGACAUAUUUUUGGUUUUUUGGUUGGCUGGUCAUAUAUUAUGUCUGGGCCCAUUUACUCUGCCAUUAUGGUAACUACCAUGGUAACUUUGAUUAUGAUUGGCUGUUGAGCCCUAUUACCAUGGUAGUUGGCGUAAUAACAAAGUUUCCAUGGUUUAAUUCUUUAUGAAAUGGGCCUUUCAAUUAUUUUACUUUACCCUCACUUGUCAUAUGUAUUAUCCCAUUUGCACAAUUUAUGACGUGUGAAAAUAUGCGUUUUGAUUAUAUUGGUUUUUUUUUUCUUUAAUAGAAAGAUUUUAUUCAAAAUCAGACACGAAAGCGAUUCAAUUGACAGAAAAUCAUGAAGCGAACCAUGUUUACAACAACUGUAAAUGCGUACUAUUAUCUAUUGAUAAAACAAAAUUAUGAUGUUUUUGACUAAGAACCCUUCCAAUUUUACAAUAGCGUUUCAAUACGUUCUUAAAAGAACUAAAACACAACAGUAUUGAGCGUCAGGGCAACCAAACAAAAAUAAAUUCUUAUUCAAAUACAUGUCAUUGUUCAGAUAAGAGGUUUGGAAGUUUUGAAUGAAUUGUUGAGUUACAGGGCAGUCCCAAAACAGAUGUGAAAUGCUUUCAACAGAUGAAGAACAAAAUGUGCAUAGAGUAGAUUCAGACAAGCCAAUAUCGUAAGGAUGUUUGUUCACCCCCAUUAUCCGAUUGAAAAGUUUAUAUUGAAAGUAGCGGAGUUUUGUUGAAAGACAGCAUUUGAAGGGAAUCAUAUACAAUCUAUUCCAAUUAUUAACCGGUUCAUUUAAAUGGAUGCCCAUUUUGUUUGCGAAGUAGGGGACUUUAAGAUUUUAUCAACAGAAAUUCUAUGGAUAAACUUGACUAUAUUGUAUAUGAUUUGAGAAAGUGGGUAUUUUCCACCUCCCUUUUAUACUGAAAUUAUGGCCACAUUUGAAGGAUUCAAAACAGAAUGCUGCAACAACAAAAAAUUUCAUUUACCAAAAAUCAGUGAUUCGUGUAAAUAGGACAAUAUACAUGGCAAGGGAGGAUUUUUUUUUUUAUGAUGACUCUUGUGUAGCUCCAAGGAGCAGGUCCAAGCUAUCUGUUUGCUGACAGUUCAAAAGUAUCUGUAUAAUAUGUUGUUUCAUUAAUAGAUGCAUACUACAUGUAUGUAGGGCAUAGAUACUAGGAGUAAAAUUUAAUUUGUACACAAGAUUCGAAAUAUUUUGGAAAUAUUUUGAGGCUUAGAAUUACGAUGGUGUGGUAAUUACUCCUAGUAGAUAUUUGAGGAUUCGACUUAGUGUGCAUUUUAUCAUGAUGAAUAUAGUGUUUUUGUUAACUUUGUGUUGAGCUAUUCUGCAAAAGUGGAUCCAAAGGUUUUCCAGAGUUUUUGCCAAUUGAGUUUUAUCUCUGGUUUUUUACCCUGGACCUACUUGUCGUAGAAUUGUUCAACACAAAAGUUUACCCCCCCCCCAACAUUUUCCGAUAGUUCUGCAGCGCGAAAUUGUUUUUACCAUUGUGAUAUACUCAGUAAAUCAGACACACAUUUAAUGCAUUGUACAGUUCACAGCAACACAACUUGCUCGUUUAAUCAUGACUCUGACAUGUUCGGUGAUGUGGUCAAUAGUAUGGUCGUUUGUUACGACCUUACAACCAUGCAUAAUUUUUACUGAAUUUUUUAUUCAAAAACUUGCACAUCUUUUUCGAGACCAAAUUUACUAUCCUCUGGUACGUGAUUCCGAAAUUAUACAAUAUUUUUUAAGUGCGCAUCAGACAAAAUUGCUCAAAACCUGAUUUUGAAUACAAAUUCAAUGCUUAAGGAAUCUUCUUACCUUAUUAAUUAAGAUGCGAUUACAUUCACUUUCAUUAGCUGAAAUUGAUUUAGCAUCAUACACAUCAAAGUGUUUCUGCACGAGAC